rnacentral:RNase_P_RNA from 1 species
CGAAGGGGAAGAGGAAGCCGCGGCCUUACGGCCGAGGAAAGUCCGGACUCCGCAGGGCAGGUUGCUGGUCGAUGUUUCACUGCCGAAGACCAGAGCCGGCGACGGCUGGAAAGUGCCACAGAAAAUAGACCACCCAGCACUUAAUUGAGUGCUGGGAGAGGGUGCAACGGUGAGGUAAGAGCUCACCGCUUCAGCCGUGAGGCGAAGGCAGGGUAAACCCCAACCGGAGUAAAGCCAAAUAGGGAGGUAUGGAGCUGCCCGCUCCUGUAAUCUCCGGGUAGGCUGCUGAGAUAGAUGGCUUCCUAACACAGGAUCCGGCUUAACUUCCCCUUCGUCUU